UGGAAGAUGUGCAAGCUUGGCACUGGCUGGAGCUGUUACCUCUCACCCAUCAGGAUGCUCUCACUCGCUCACCCACAGCUGGCUCAAAGCAGUGUGUGGGCAGAGCAGAAUUUUGCUGCCCAAGGAUGAGGGGUGGGGUCUGGGCAGUUCCUGCAAGGGGAAGGGGUAGGAUUUGGCAAAGAAAGGAUGGAAAGGGAUCUGGCAAGCCCCUGCCUCUUUUACUGGCACUAAGGAGUGGGGCAGUGACUGCUGCUUCCAAGAGGAUCUCUCCCAACUUCCAAAGCAGACACAGAGACCAGAUGUUUUCUGCAAAGACUGUGCCUUCUCCACACUCUGCAGGACUGUGCUCACGUGAAUGACAUUUUAAAGCUACGUAAUCCCUGGCAAAACAAGUUAAUUCUUUACCUUGAGCAGGACAAAACCAUGGAAACAAGGACUUCAGAGUGCUGCCAAGCCUGUUGGAUGUACAUCUGCACAGCACCAGGGAAAUACUGGGGGGUCCAAAAUACACAAAU